CAUUACUAGUUUGUAUCUGUUUAUUAGGCAAUGCAGAUUCGCAGAGAAUUGCCUGCAUUGCAUUAGCUUAUAUCCGGACUUAUUAGGCAUUGCAGGUUUGCAACAUUAGCUUAAACCCAGACUUUUUUAGGCAGUGUUGUCGCAAAUACGGUAACGGUACUGUUUGCUUGCUUCAUGGUUGCUGUCGAUUGCGUUCUAUUUUCGUUUUCUUCCGGUGAGGGUAGCAUGUGGGGAUGCCAGCGAGGCAAGCAGCGGCCACGUGGCGUCACUAGGUAGACGAACACGUGGGCCCCUGUGUGGCCCACGUGCCACGGCAACCACACACUCUUGGCUUCGUGCUCUCCUCUCCGCCGCGCAACUCUAGAGACAGAGUUCAAAGCGCAACAGUUGCGCACCCUUUUUCCUCUUCUCGUGGCCGCUCGAUAUACUGGCACUGCUCGCCAGAGCACGCACGAGUUCGAACACCACGCUCCACGCCCCUUGCUCGCAGCUCGCUCCACGACAUGACGGCCUCGGCGCUGCAGGCCGAGCGCCACCUGCUCCUCCUCGGUAGCGGCCGCCACCGGCCCCUCCUCCGCAUGCUCCCGCCACGCCCACGCGUGCCCCUCCCGCACCGGCGCCGCAGCUGGCCCCGGGCCGUGAGGGUGUCACCCGGCGACGGCGGGGGCGCGGGAGGGUUCGCGAGCGCCGUGGAGAAGCGCUCGAUUCCGGGGAUAGUUGGGGAGGAGGAGCAUGGAGCGACGGGAGAGGAGGAGUUGGAAGGGGAAGUGGCCGGGGCUUUGGAGCUGAAGUGGCCGCCGUGGGAGGGGUUGGCCGAGCGGUACAAGCUCAUCGGCGCGACCUCGCUCGCCUUCGUCAUCUGCAACAUGGACAAGGUUAACUUGAGUAUCGCAAUUAUUCCAAUGUCACAUCAAUAUGGUUGGAACUCGUCAACUGCUGGCUUAGUUCAGUCCUCAUUCUUUUGGGGUUAUGCGUUGAGUCAACUACCAGGAGGAUGGCUGGCAAAAUUGUUUGGCGGAAGGAAAGUGCUUGAGGUCGGUGUUGUGACAUGGUCUUUGGCCACUGCUAUAGUUCCUGUUGUAGCAGGGUUUAUGCCAGGGCUUGUCUUGUCAAGGAUCCUGGUAGGCAUUGGAGAAGGUGUUUCACCAUCAGCUGCUACAGAUUUAAUUGCUAGGUCCAUUCCCUUGCAAGAGCGGUCAAGAGCAGUUGCUGUUGUCUUUGGUGGUUUGAGCUUUGGAAGUGUCUUAGGACUCCUGUUUGCCCCUCCCAUCAUUCAGAACCUUGGCUGGGAGUCUGUCUUUUACAUAUUUGGCCUUCUUGGGAUUGUUUGGUGCUUAGGAUUUGAAUCUCUUAAAGUGCAACGGUUCGGUGACAAAGAAGGCAUAUUAAACCUUGGACAAAGUUCUACUGGAUCUGAUGGUCUUAUCUCAUCCGCCAUGUCUUCGGAAUCAUCACACUCGUCAUUGGAAGAUCUGCAAAAUUCACUAAAGGAUGUGCCUUGGGGAGCAUUUUUCAAAAGCAAGGCAGUGUGGGCAAUGAUAUAUGCACACUUUUGUGGAAGUUGGGGGCAUUAUACUUGUUUGUCUUGGCUACCAACGUUCUUUAGUGAGGAGCUGAACCUGAACUUGACAGAAGCAGCAUGGGUGUCAGUCCUUCCUCCUUUGGGUUCAAUGAUCAUUACAUCUAUUGCAGCACCUUUUGCAGACAACUUGAUAUCAAAUGGAGUUGACACCACGAAGGGCUUUAUUGCACACAUCAAGAUAUCUCUCGUGAAUAUGCAAGCAUUCUCCUGGGAAUCACAAACACUGUAGGCGCUGUGCCAGGAAUUGUAGGCAUUGCACUGACAGGCUUUCUGCUUGAUUCAACUCAUUCUUGGAGUAUAUCACUCUUUGUGCCUUCUAUCUUCUUUUACUUAACUGGUACUGCUGUAUGGUUAGCAUUUGCAAGCAGUGAGCCCCAGGAUUUUUCCAAGUCAGAACCUGAGUCAUGAAUCGUGAUGUAUGGCUCUCUGCACAGAAGGAUCGUUUCAGAAGGAAAAUUCGUUUUUUUAGUCUAGGCAAAAGAAUGGAACUCUAGGGCAGGGAAUAGAUGUUAUGUUCCUUUUCAGUCAGUUGCAGAUAAGAGGAGCUUACGCGUAUAUAGUAUAAUAGUAGGCUUUUUUCUGGUUAUUUUUCACAUUUUGAUAUGAUUUUGGAAGGGAAAGAGGACUGUGUUUGUCAUGAAGGGGAAUGUGUGCCGUCAGGCCGUUUGUAGUAUGUCACUUUCUUCAAGUGUUUUUUUUUUACUUUCAACAGUACAAUUUUAGUUAAAUACCUUUUCAGUUACU